rnacentral:rRNA from 1 species
AGAGUUUGAUCCUGGCUCAGGACGAACGCUGGCGGUGUGCUUCACACAUGCAAGUCGAGCGAAUGAAGAAGGUAGCUUGCUACUUUUGGAUUUAGCGGCGGACGGGUGAGUAAUAUAUAGGAAUCUGCCCUAGAGCGGGGAACAACAGACCGAAAGGUUUGCUAAUGCCCCAUAGGUACGCAGUCUUCGGAUUGUUUAUUAAAGGAGUAAUCCACUCUAGGAUGAGCCUGUAUCCGAUUAGCUAGUUGGCGGGGUAAAGGCCCACCAAGGCUACGAUCGGUAGUUGGUCUGAGAGGAUGAUCAGCCACAAUGGGACUGAGACACGGCCCAUACUCCUACGGGAGGCAGCAGUGGGGAAUUUUACACAAUGGGGGAAACCCUGAUGUAGCGACACCGCGUGAACGAAGAAGCCUUUUGGGGUGUAAAGUUCUGUCGGCUGGAACGAAAAAAAUGACGGUACCAGCAAAGGAAGCAUCGGCUAACUACGUGCCAGCAGCCGCGGUAAGACGUAGGAUGCAAGCGUUGUCCGGAUUUAUUGGGCGUAAAGAGUUUGUAGGCGGUUAUUUAAGUCUGAUGUUAAAUACUGUGGCCCAACCACAGAACUGCAUUGGAUACUGGAUGACUUGAGUGCGGUAGAGGCAAGUGGAAUUCCCAGUGUAGCGGUGAAAUGCGUA